ACCUGGCUGGCUCACUGGAAGAGCAUGAGACUCUUGAUCUUGGGGUCAUGAGUUCAAGUCUCAUGUUGGGUG
rnacentral:tRNA from 1 species